rnacentral:rRNA from 1 species
UGGGGAAUAUUGCACAAUGGGCGCAAGCCUGAUGCAGCCAUGCCGCGUGUAUGAAGAAGGCCUUCGGGUUGUAAAGUACUUUCAGCGGGGAGGAAGGCGAUAAGGUUAAUAACCUUGUCGAUUGACGUUACCCGCAGAAGAAGCACCGGCUAACUCCGUGCCAGCAGCCGCGGUAAUACGGAGGGUGCAAGCGAUAAUCGGAAUUACUGGGCGUAAAGCGCACGCAGGCGGUCUGUCAAGUCGGAUGUGAAAUCCCCGGGCUCAACCUGGGAACUGCAUUCGAAACUGGCAGGCUAGAGUCUUGUAGAGGGGGGUAGAAUUCCAGGUGUAGCGGUGAAAUGCGUAGAGAUCUGGAGGAAUACCGGUGGCGAAGGCGGCCCCCUGGACAAAGACUGACGCUCAGGUGCGAAAGCGUGGGGAGCAAACA